rnacentral:rRNA from 1 species
UACGUAGGGUGCAAGCGUUAAUCGGAAUUACUGGGCGUAAAGCGUGCGCAGGCGGCUAUGCGAGACAGAUGUGAAAUCCCCGGGCUCAACCUGGGAACUGCAUUUGUGACUGCAUGGCUAGAGUACGGCAGAGGGGGAUGGAAUUCCGCGUGUAGCAGUGAAAUGCGUAGAUAUGCGGAGGAACACCGAUGGCGAAGGCAAUCCCCUGGGCCUGUACUGACGCUCAUGCACGAAAGCGUGGGGAGCAAACAGG